rnacentral:rRNA from 1 species
UGUCUGAACAUGGGGGGACCAUCCUCCAAGGCUAAAUACUCCUUACCGACCGAUAGUGAACCAGUACCGUGAGGGAAAGGCGAAAAGAACCCCGUUGAGGGGAGUGAAAUAGAACCUGAAACCGUGUGCGUACAAGCAGUAGGAGCAGACUUGUUCUGUGACUGCGUACCUUUUGUAUAAUGGGUCAGCGACUUAAUUUAUGUAGCGAGCUUAACCGAAUAGGGGAGGCGCAGGGAAACCGAGUCUUAAUAGGGCGACUAGUUGCAUGGAUUAGACCCGAAACCUGGCGAUCUAUCCAUGGUCAGGGUGAAGGUGAGGUAACACUUACUGGAGGCCCGAACUCACGUAUGUUGAAAAAUGCGGAGAUGAACUGUGGAUCGGAGUGAAAGGCUAAUCAAGCCAGGAGAUAGCUGGUUCUCCUCGAAAGCUAUUUAGGUAGCGCCUCGUAUCUCACUCUCGGGGGUAGAGCACUGUUUGGGCUAGGGGGUCAUCCCGACUUACCAAACCGAUGCAAACUCCGAAUACCUACAAGUGCCGAGCAUGGGAGACACACGGCGGGUGCUAACGUCCGUCGUGAAAAGGGAAACAACCCUAACCAUCAUCUAAGGUCCCCAAGUCAUGGCUAAGUGGGAAAGGAUGUGAGGAUCCCAAAACAACCAGGAUGUUGGCUUAGAAGCAGC